UACGUAGGGGGGCUAGCGUUGUCCGGAAUCAUUGGGCGUAAAGAGCGUGUAGGCGGCUCGGUAAGUCCGCUGUAAAAGUCAAAGGCUCAACCUUUGAAUGUCAGUGGAUACUGCCGGGCUAGAGUCCGGAAGAGGCGAGUGGAACUCCUGGUGUAGCGGUGGAAUGCGCAGAUAUCAGGAAGAACACCAACGGCGAAGGCAGCUCGCUGGGGACGGUACUGACGCUGAGACGCGAAAAGCGUGGGGGGCGAACAGG
rnacentral:rRNA from 1 species